CGAAAGCCUGACGGAGCAAUACCGCGUGAGGGAGGAAGGCCUUUGGGUUGUAAACCUCUUUUCUCAGGGAAGAAGUUCUGACGGUACCUGAGGAAUAAGCAUCGGCUAACUCCGUGCCAGCAGCCGCGGUAAGACGGAGGAUGCGAGUGUUAUCCGGAAUUAUUGGGCGUAAAGCGUCUGUAGGUGGUUUAAAAAGUCUAUGGUUAAAGGUUGAAGCUUAACUUCAAAAAUGUCAUAGAAACUUUUAGACGUGAGUAUGUUAGGGGUAAAGGGAAUUUCCAGUGGAGCGGUGAAAUGCGUAGAUAUUGGAAAGACCACCGAUGGCGAAGGCACUUUACUAGGACAUUACUGACACUGAGAGACGAAAGCUAGGGGAGCA
rnacentral:rRNA from 1 species